rnacentral:misc_RNA from 1 species
CAGAGUUACCUAACUCCCAAACCCUUUGUGAACUUACCUUAUUGUUGCCUCGGCGAGCCCCUGGGAUUCGUCCUACGCCCGCCGAUGGCCCCUUUAACUCUGUUACCUAUUAAGUAAUCUGAGCGUACUUUAAAAAUAAAGUCA